rnacentral:lncRNA from 1 species
UUAUUCAGUAGUUCUCAUGGAUAAUCGGAUGUCAAAGAUAUGUACUGCCUCAUCUGACUUAAAUUAGUGAUUUUAGUUGUGCUGUAAUUCUCAUGGCCUCAGAUCUAUAUCAGCAUGUCCAGCUUCUCUGAUUCUCCCCAAACAGUCCAGACUGUCUUGUGAUUCCUUUAAAUACUAGGAUCAGGCUCUUGCAGCAUGUGCACAUCUUGAUCAAAGUUCGUCUGAUCAUCUGCCUUGGCCUCAAGAUGUUGGAUCCGGACCUACCACUGUGCUUGGGAAUGACAGGCGGCGCAGGAGGGACUCGGACCUUUGACUGAUCGACCAGGAUUAGGAUCAGGAUUGGGAUUACUUCUCAGCUUGUGACUGGCAAAGAAAGCACUGGCAUUAUAUUGCCCCACAAAUCAGGAGAAGCUGGGUGACAAGAAAAAAAGGGAAAAACACCAAUCUUCAGCCGUCCUAGAGAGAUUCCAGAAAAACAUGGUCCUGUUUUCUCUGAAAGUUUACCACAAUUCUUAAAUUUGACUUUUCGACUCCUAUUUUUCCAGAGAUACCACAAGCAUCUGGCUUUUAACUAAUGGUUCUAUUUAUAUUGCCUUUGAAAAUUAGACUAAUGCAAUUGCAGUCAAUGACUAAUUAUCAGUAAAUAAUAGGAAACUGCACAGUUUCAUUUUGUGCUUAAAAACAUAAUUGUUCAUCCCCCA